AGAUUAGUUGCCCAAAAGAAAGAUGUCCGCAGCGUGUGCAUUCUCCCAUAUGGGUAACAGUAGAAGGCGCUGUGCAGUGAAUAUAGUAUUGCACAGCGUGGUGGCAGGCUGCCAGUUGAACUACUCCACUUUCCUACUCUAAAGGCGAACAGAGGCUGAGGACCAUGGCUACUGUAUUACAUCUUGAAGAAACACAGAGGCUGUCGGUGAAUGACGGGAGUUGUAGUCAGCAACACAACCAGAUGUUUUUU